rnacentral:lncRNA from 1 species
GGGAGAGGAGGAAAUAGCAGUUUAUAUAGCCAGAUUAGCAGGAGGCCAAGGGUACAGAGGGCAAGGGCAGAUAGUAGCUGGGUGUGCAGUAGCAUAAGGGAGGAAGGGAGGGAGAGAGGGAGGGAGGAGAGUUAAGGAGGAGCACUGGGUUAAGUAGUUUUGGGAGAAUGUACAGUAAAACGUCAAGAACCUGUUAUAAUAGAUAUAUUAACUUCAUAUAUAUAACUUCAGAUCUAUAACUUCAUCUGGGGAGUCCUGCUUGAAGUCCCGAAACUGGAGAUAACUAGACAAGGUAAAUCUUUAAGCGCUUGCAAUUAAAGCCACACAAAUACAGAGCUCAGUUCCUUGCUCAACUGUUCAGUGAACAGUUCCCUAUGUCAAACAAAACCACAGCACUCAGCACUGUUCACAAUAAGGUAUUUGGAGAGCUGGAUCCAUUUUUUAACCUUCUCUCCCCCGUGUCAGCAGCUUCCUUAAAAUAAUUUAUCAGGGAUCUGACAACCAUUUUAAACUUUAAAAGGAAGUUUUUAACUUUCUUUUCUGCAACUGCUGCAAUGCAAAUGUUUCUCUAUCAUAUGAUGUUAAGUAAUGUUACAGUAGAAGCUGUGCUGUACUAGAUGCUGCUGCCACAGUGCAAAUUUAAUAGCAUUGUUAUAUAUAACAAAUGUCAUCACAUACGGCAGGAUUUUUUGAAGUUUUAGAAAAGAUAUGAAUGAGUCUCUUGCAAGAAACUGAUCUUACUGGAACUCUGAUACAGAAAAUUACCCACUAGUGUCAUAAUGCUGUUACACUUCCUUAUUUUUACUCUUCAGUUCUCAGUUGUGUAAACACCCUUCUACCAAUUUGUCAUCACAAAACGGGGCUUUUUAAAAUCUCUUAUCUGCUAUUUGUUCAUAGGAAAUGCCAGACCGUGACUCUGCUGGGACAUUUUGAGCUUUUGGCCAGCAUUCUGGUAGGUGCUGUGGAAGAUUUUCAGAUUUCGACACGCAGAGAUACCGUCUCAAACCCCUCCAGUGGAAAUUCAUGGUUUUGUUCUGCCACAAAAAAUUGAAUGAUUGAAACUACAAAUACUUAAAAUUUCUUCUUGAGGACAGUCAGUACCAAUAUGGAGGCGUAGACACCUUAGAAGGGACUUCAGUCUUACCUCUGGGAGGUAGUUCUGUGCAGAAAUAAAGAAACUAAGGCAUCAAAUACUUUUUUUUUA